AUACGGAGGAUGCGAGCGUUAUCCGGAUUUAUUGGGUUUAAAGGGUGCGCAGGCGGCCAUUUAAGUCAGCGGUUAAAUCGUGGGGCUCAACCCCAUUCUGCCGUUGAUACUGGGUGGCUUGAUUGCGGUCGAGGUUGGCGGAAUUCGUUGUGUAGCGGUGAAAUGCAUAGAUAUGACGAAGAACACCGAUUGCGUAGGCAGCCGACCAGACCGCAAAUGACGCUCAUGCACGAAGGUGCGGGGAUCGAACAGGAUUAGAUGCCCUGGUAGUCCGCACAGUAAACGAUGAAUACUUGUUUUCGGCGAUAUAAUGUCGGAGGCAAAGCGAAAGCGAUAAGUAUUCCGCCUGGGGAGUACGCCGGCAACGGUGAAACUCAAAUGAAUUGACGGGG
rnacentral:rRNA from 1 species